GAGAGUUUGAUCCUGGCUCAGAUUGAACGCUGGCGGCAUGCUUUACACAUGCAAGUCGAACGGCAGCACGGGCUUCGGCCUGGUGGCGAGUGGCGAACGGGUGAGUAAUACAUCGGAACGUACCCAGAAGUGGGGGAUAACGUAGCGAAAGUUACGCUAAUACCGCAUACGUUCUACGGAAGAAAGUGGGGGAUCGCAAGACCUCAUGCUUUUGGAGCGGCCGGUGUCUGAUUAGCUAGUUGGUGAGGUAAAAGCUCACCAAGGCGACGAUCAGUAGCUGGUCUGAGAGGACGACCAGCCACACUGGAACUGAGACACGGUCCAGACUCCUACGGGAGGCAGCAGUGGGGAAUUUUGGACAAUGGGCGCAAGCCUGAUCCAGCAAUGCCGCGUGAGUGAAGAAGGCCUUCGGGUUGUAAAGCUCUUUUGUCAGGGAAGAAACGGUAGAGGCUAAUAUCCUUUGCUAAUGACGGUACCUGAAGAAUAAGCACCGGCUAACUACGUGCCAGCAGCCGCGGUAAUACGUAGGGUGCAAGCGUUAAUCGGAAUUACUGGGCGUAAAGCGUGCGCAGGCGGUUUUGUAAGUCUGACGUGAAAGCCCCGGGCUCAACCUGGGAAUUGCGUUGGAGACUGCAAGGCUUGAAUCUGGCAGAGGGGGGUAGAAUUCCACGUGUAGCAGUGAAAUGCGUAGAGAUGUGGAGGAACACCGAUGGCGAAAGCAGCCCCCUGGGUCAAGAUUGACGCUCAUGCACGAAAGCGUGGGGAGCAAACAGGAUUAGAUACCCUGGUAGUCCACGCCCUAAACGAUGUCUACUAGUUGUCGGGUUUUAAUUAACUUGGUAACGCAGCU
rnacentral:rRNA from 1 species